rnacentral:rRNA from 1 species
GAUGAACGCUGACAGAAUGCUUAACACAUGCAAGUCCUUGGCGAAGCUGCGCUUGCGCAGUCUAGCCAAGGCGGACGGGUGAGUAACGCGUAAGGAACUUGCCCUGCAGACAGGGAUAACAGACGGAAACGACUGAUAACACCUGGUAUUGUCAGGCUGGCGCAUGCCGGCCUGAUGAAAGGAGACGCUGCAGGAGAGCCUUGCGUCCUAUUAGCUAGUUGGUGGGGUAACGGCCCACCAAGGCGAUGAUAGGUAGCCGGCCUGAGAGGGUGAACGGCCAAAGGGGGACUGGAAUCCGGCCCUUCCUCCUACGGGGGGCAGCAGGGGGGAAUAUUGGAAAAGGGGGGCAAACCUGAUCCAGCAAUUCUGUGUGAAGAAAAAAGGUUUGCGGAUUGAAAAGUUCUUUCAGCAGGGAAGAAGAAAGGGACGGUACCGGCAGAAGAAGCAACGGCUAAAUACGU